CUCAUCUCUAUUUUCUUGCAUUCCGGCUCUCCUGAUGUUCCAGGCCCAUCUCUGAGUCAUCCUUGGACAGGAGAGAUCCCAGAGGGUAAACAGGACAUGAGCCUGCAGUGAGGGGAGACAGAGGAGGAGAGAACUCCCUGAAACAAGAGGAGAGGAGGAGCUGGUGGGGAGGACACAGGCUCUGCAGUCCCAGGGAUUCGCAGUGUUAGUUGAUCUCCGGGGACACUAGUUCCCAAGAGACCCCACUGAAGGCCUGGCUGUACCAUCAUAGGCUGUGUGCCCUUGGGCAAGAACCUCUACCAUUCCUCGUUGCCUGUAUAUAAAUUGAAGGCUUUGCUCUAGACAGCGCUGGGGAGAAUGAACGCCUGAGUACUCAUGUCUUUAUGCACUGUAGUAUUAUUUCCUUACAACAGACUCCUGAACCUGGAACGGCAGUGUCAAAGGGUUCACAAAAUGUUAGACUUCUGAAGCAAAUCAGAUGGCACCUUUUUUGAAUAAUGAAGAAUCUUUACCCCUGGCAUGAGGAGCUGAGGACAACUCCCACUCCACGAUGUGAAGCCACAGAGUUUCGAGGCCCCAGGACCUCCAGCGUCAAUGUUGUGGGAUGAUGGGUGACAGAGCCAAAGCAUCGCCAUCUUGGACAAGCACGGUCAUUCUGAAGUUCCCCUUGAUCAAAAACUGCCUAAACCCAAAGGAUAUCAGCCUGAUGGCUAAGGUCAGCAUGACCAUAAACCAUAAAUAACAUCUCUGACCAGGAACAUUCCAAACCCCUCCAUGAGACAUGCCAGCCCUGAGAUAACCUCCCCUCCGGCCAGAAAGAUGUCAGACCCAAGAUAACCUCCCCUCCGACCAGAGACAUCCCAACCCUGCCAUAAACUUCUCCCCCACACAGAAACAUUCUGAGCUUGUAAUAAGCCCCCUCAUCCUAAAACCAAUAUAUACUCUUAGUCCGUAAGAGAAAGUGCUCCUGAACAAAAUUGGCCAGAAGCCCCUCUCCGGCUUAUUUUCUCUAAAAUACAUCUGUCGUUAAAUUGA